UAGGGAAUCUUCCACAAUGGACGCAAGUCUGAUGGAGCAACGCCGCGUGAGUGAAGAAGGUCUUCGGAUCGUAAAGCUCUGUUGUUGGUGAAGAAGGAUAGAGGCAGUAACUGGUCUUUAUUUGACGGUAAUCAACCAGAAAGUCACGGCUAACUACGUGCCAGCAGCCGCGGUAAUACGUAGGUGGCAAGCGUUGUCCGGAUUUAUUGGGCGUAAAGCGAGCGCAGGCGGAAUGAUAAGUCUGAUGUGAAAGCCCACGGCUCAACCGUGGAACUGCAUCGGAAACUGUCAUUCUUGAGUGCAGAAGAGGAGAGUGGAACUCCAUGUGUAGCGGUGGAAUGCGUAGAUAUAUGGAAGAACACCAGUGGCGA
rnacentral:rRNA from 1 species